UCCUCCUCACUUACUCUCAUCAGAGCCGGGUAAAGCAAAAAGCCUCCAUCAGCCAUGGCAACUGCAUUCUCCACCCGCGGCAGCUUCGCAUCUGCAGGCUCCUUUGGAGGAGGAAGCCGUAUCAGCGCCAUGAGGUCUGGAAGUGUCUAUGGAGGAGCUGGAGGCUCUGGAGUUCGCAUCUCCCAGGCUUCGCGCUCUGUGUCCUUGGGCAGCUCCAGUGGAGGCUUUGGCUUUGGCUCUGGUGGAGGUUUUGGUGCAGGUGCUGGUGCUGGUGCUGGUUUUGGUGGUGGUGCCGGUGCUGGUUUUGGUGGUGGCUUUGGGGCUGGAGCAGCUGGCGCUGCAGAUAGCAGCAUUCUCGGCAAUGAGAAGUUCACCAUGCAGAACCUGAAUGAUCGUCUGGCCACCUACCUGGAGAAGGUGCGCUCCCUGGAGAAGGCCAACGCAGAGCUGGAGCUGAAGAUCCGCCAGUUCCUGGAGGCCAGAACCUCACCUGCUGCACGUGAUCAGUCCGGCUUUUUCGUUACCAUCUCUGACCUCCAGGCCAAGAUCUUGGACGCCAUCCAGUUGAAGGGAACCAUCCACCUCAGCAUUGACAAUGCCAGCCUUGCAGCUGAUGACUUCAGAAUGAAGUACGAGACUGAGCUGGCCAUGCGUCAGUCAGUGGAGGCUGAUAUCGCUGGUCUGAGGAGGCUGCUGGACGAGCUGAACAUGACCAAGAAAGACCUGGCCAUGCAAAUCGAAGGGCUGACAGAGGAACUGGCUUUCCUCAAGAAGAACCAUGAAGAGGAACUGCUGACGACGCGCACUCAGAUGACAGGACAGAUCCAUGUUGAGGUUGACGCUGCACCACAGGAAGACCUGACCAAAAUUAUGGAGGAAAUCCGUGAGCACUAUGAAGUCGUCGCUGCCAAGAGCCAGAGGGAGCUAGAGACCUGGUUUCAGGCCAAGUCUGAGACCCUGAAACAGGAGGUUGCUGUGAGCACAGAAACCCUGCAGACAACUAAAACAGAAGUGAACACAGUGAAGAGCACAUCGCAGUCUCUAGAGAUCGAGCUCCAGUCUCUGUUAGCCAUGAAAGCCUCAAUGGAGGGCACACUGGCUGAAACUGGCACGUUACUCCAGACAGCUCACAGGAUACCAAUCACAGGUAAGCAGUCUGGAAGACCAGUUGGUGCAGCUCCGCGCUAACCUGGAGCGUCAGGGUCAGGAGUACCAGAUGCUGCUGGACAUCAAGACCAGACUGGAGCUGGAGAUCGCUGAGUACAGGAGACUACUGGAUGCAGAAGCCAGUGGAAGCGCCUCCAUCUCUGCCAGCUCCAGCUCCACUACCAAAGCGGCUGUGAUCACCGUGGUGGAGGAAGUGGUGGAUGGAAAAGUGGUCACCACCUCGUCUUCCACAACAUCCAUCACUCGCAACUGAAGACCCUCCAACCCGCACCUCCAAAGUGAUGAGAAAACAGAAUGUAGUUCACUGAGCAAAAUAAAGACACCGUUUCAGUGA